rnacentral:lncRNA from 1 species
UAUAUUUCAGUACCACUUUCCUGUUAUGUCAAAUGUCUUGUAGGAAACAAAAUGUUAUCAACUCAGAACCAACUUGUGCAAUUUCACAUCCAUUUACAACAAGAAAAACUCAACUGUAUGAUUAAUUACAAACAAAACUUCCUUAUAUUAAAAAUUUGUAGACAACAAGAGAGGCGGGGGAUUUUCAAUACAAGAGCACAUGCUAGAUCAGUAUAUACAUACACAGAAUGGCCAAUAUGUACCAAAAUGAGAUAGAAAUACAUCAAACAAAUAUUGAGCUAAUAUCUUUGCUUCAUUACAAUCAAUUCAUUACAUCUCUAUCAGACCAUUACAUCUGUUAUGCUGUAUCGCUGCGAUGGAGAUCAACAAACCUUGCUCUAUCAGACCAUUGCAGAUACAUUCAUCAUCCUUACUACUUAACUGCUGCCCUACAAAGCCAAUUGCAGCACAUAAACCUCCACCUUGUAAAAGAGUAAAGAAACAGCUCAAUAUAAGAACCUGCAACACUAAGCAUGUAAGUAGAAGGAAGAGAAAAAGAAUUUCUAAUAACAACUCUGUAUUAGUAAGCACAUGAGAAAUACUAAGCAAUAUAUACCUGAGAAGUUAUAAAGCAAAACCUGGGAACUAGCUUUUGUUUCUCAGCAUCACAAGCAGAAUAAAUUAUAAUGAAAGGGAUAUGAACUACCCUCUGUACACCUCCACUUUGAUGAAGAAAAACUAAAACAAUCGAUUCCUAGAAUAGUUGUAAAUUGCCAUCAAAGUUUCAUUUAUCAUGCCAUCCCUACAAAAUUAACAAUUUAUAGGGAUAAACAUGGUACAAAAAUAUAAACUUAAUAUUUGCAAAGUUUACUAACUGGGCUCUUUUUGUGCAACAAAGGGCGUAAUAUUCAGAAUGUACAAGCCAUUAGUAAUGCAAAUUUUGCAUAUGGCCUUCAAUAAGCCCUGCUACACCUAUACAGAGGAAAUUGCAAGAACUAAAAGUUCAAUAUCAUCCACUAUAUUGAAAGUAUUACAGCAGCAUCAGCACAACUCAGAAACCACAACUUCAACAGCAGUUAUUACUCAACCAGUAGUUGCAAAAAGAAGUGUACAGCAACAGCAGCAACAACAUUUCCAAGCCAAACUAGCAAAAAUUCUACACUAAUUAAAAUCCGUCAUGCCCGAGAUUUGACAACUUCUUGUUAGCUAAAAACAAGUAAAAUUAAUUUAAAACAACAUUAGAUGAUAUUAAAUCAAUGAAUAUUUUCUAGGGUCUGCUCAAUUUCAUAAUAAUCAAAUUAUUUAAAUCAAUUGCUAGUAAAUAGCAUAGAGCUCAACUAACAUAUCUCUAAUCAAUAAAUCAAACAAAUUGGGGAUUGAAAUGAGUAGUUCUUGGGAUUCUAAAAUCUAAGCAAACAGUUCAACAAGAUAUUGUAACAAAAAGAUAAAAUUAUGAAUAGUAAAUAAUUUCAUUAUUUAUUUUAAGAGAUACUAAAUCACUGAGACUGCCAUGGAUGAAAGGUUUGAAUGUAACACGAAGCAUUUACAAAGAAAGAAAAAUGGUAACAGAUGGUACUUGUUCAGAUUCUCGGAUAAAAGAUGAAGGAGGCAACCCAAUAGUCAAAUACCCCAAAUAGUAAUGGGUUGAGCAAAAAAUACCCACCAUAAAACAGAAAUUCAAUCAAAUGAGAAGUGCAGACUUGGAGAGAAGUCGACGGGCGAAGGCAGCGGCGGAGAGAAUGGAAGAAUAGGAUUCUAGGGCUCGAAGGGGAUCGAACUGAGGGGCUUCAAAAAUGCCACCGCGUCCCUUCAAAACUACGUCGUUUUGAUAAAAGAAUGUUAUUUAAGGCGAAAUGCUAUUUAAGAAGAAUGCUUUUGAUCCUG